AGAGUUUGAUCCUGGCUCAGAAUCAACGCUGGCGGCGUGCCUAACACAUGCAAGUCGCACGAGAAAGUGGAGCAAUCCAUGAGUAAAGUGGCGUACGGGUGAGUAACACGUGACUAACCUACCCUCGAGUGGGGAAUAACCUCGGGAAACCGGGGCUAAUACCGCAUAACAUCUUUUGGCUGAGAUGCCGAUUGAUCAAACCAGUAAUGGGCUUGAGGAGGGGGUCGCGGCUGAUUAGCUAGUUGGUGGGGUAACGGCCCACCAAGGCGAAGAUCAGUAGCCGGCCUGAGAGGGCGCACGGCCACACUGGAACUGAAACACGGUCCAGACUCCUACGGGAGGCAGCAGUGGGGAAUUUUGCGCAAUGGGGGAAACCCUGGCGCAGCAACGCCGCGUGGAGGAUGAAGUCCCUUGGGAUGUAAACUCCUUUCGAUCGGGACGAUUAUGACGGUACCGGAAGAAGAAGCCCCGGCUAACUUCGUGCCAGCCGCCGCGGUAAUAC
rnacentral:rRNA from 1 species